rnacentral:rRNA from 1 species
CCGAACCGACUAAUGUUGAAAAAUUAGCGGAUGACCUGUGGCUGGGGGUGAAAGGCCAAUCAAACCGGGAGAUAGCUGGUUCUCCCCGAAAGCUAUUUAGGUAGCGCCUCGUGAAUUCAUCUCCGGGGGUAGAGCACUGUUUCGGCUAGGGGGCCAUCCCGGCUUACCAACCCGAUGCAAACUGCGAAUACCGGAGAAUGUUAUCACGGGAGACACACGGCGGGUGCUAACGUCCGUCGUGAAGAGGGAAACAACCCAGACCGCCAGCUAAGGUCCCAAAGUCAUGGUUAAGUGGGAAACGAUGUGGGAAGGCCCAGACAGCCAGGAUGUUGGCUUAGAAGCAGCCAUCAUUUAAAGAAAGCGUAAUAGCUCACUGGUCGAGUCGGCCUGCGCGGAAGAUGUAACGGGGCUAAACCAUGCACCGAAGCUGCGGCAGCGACA